rnacentral:rRNA from 1 species
UUAGUAGCGGCGAGCGAACAGGGAUGAGCCCAGCACCGAACCUCGCGCCCGGUUGAGCGGGUGCCGAGGAAUGUGGUGUUCGGGAGGAUCGUGCGCGCCUGUCCGGUAUUUAUCGUCCAAGUCUCCAUGAACGGGGCGAGCAACCCACAGAGGGUGUCAGGCCCGUAGCUUAGACGAGCCGAGACCGUGCAUUGGAUCCCUUCCCAAGAGUCGGGUUGCUUGAGCGUGCAGCCCUAAGCGGGAGGUAAACUCCUUCUAAGGCUAAAUAUCGCCACGAGACCGAUAGCGAACAAGUACCGCGAGGGAAAGUUGAAAAGAACUUUGAAGAGAGAGUUCAAGAGUGCGUGAAACCGUUCAGGGGGUUAAACGGGUGGGCCCUCGAAGGUCGAACGAGCCCCCGCUCCCGGCACUUGGUUGCAUGCCCCCGCUGCGAGAGACUCUCUGAAUUGGGAGCUCGAUCGCCGGUGGGGAACGCAUUAGCCGCGCCAAGGUCCGCUAGUGGGGGGCCUAGUAGGACUCCGCGACCGACUGGGUGUCCUGUCAUACGGGGCGUUUGUUAGAGAGUUUGUCGGGG